CACCGCCCGUCACACCACGAAAGUUGAUUGCACCAGAAGUCAUCGUGCUAACCGUAAGGAGGCAGGUGCCCAAGGUGCGGUCAAUGAUUGGGGUG
rnacentral:rRNA from 1 species